ACGCCACAAGAGUCAGAGCGUUUGCCUCCGGAGCAAAAGGCCGCAGGUUCGAAUCCUGCCGGGCGUACCA
rnacentral:tRNA from 1 species